UCUAGCAUCAAUAGUAUUAGAGGCACUGCCUGCCCAGUGACAUAUGUUAAACGGCCGCGGUAUCCUGACCGUGCAAAGGUAGCAUAAUCAUUUGUUCCUUAAAUAGGGACUUGCAUGAAUGGCCAAACGAGGGUUUAUCUGUCUCUUACUUUCAAUCAGUGAAAUUGACCUUCCCGUGAAGAGGCGGGAAUAAACAAAUAAGACGAGAAGACCCUAUGGAGCUUAAAUUUAUUGAUCCAAGUAAUCUCUUUAUCAACUCUAUAAGAAAUAACCUACUACUUAUGGAUUAAAAAUUUUGGUUGGGGUGACCUCGGAGUAUAAUCUAACCUCCGAAUGAUCUUAGUCUAGACCACAACCCGUCUAAACUCCAAUUCAUAAAUUGACCCAAACAUUUGAUCAACGGAACAAGUUACCCUAGGGAUAACAGCGCAAUCCUACCCAAGAGUCCCUAUCGACAGUAGGGUUUACGACCUCGAUGUUGGAUCAGGACAUCCAAAUGGUGCAGCCGCUAUUAAUGGUUCGUUUGUUCAACGAUUAAAGUC
rnacentral:rRNA from 1 species